rnacentral:misc_RNA from 1 species
AAUGAUAUACUACAGUGUGGCCAUUUAUAACACUGUUUGUCGAAUGGUACUUGUCCUUCAUUGUGACAAUUCCCAUUUCAGUUCAAGAAUAACAUAUGCAACAUAACGUUAACGUUGUCAUGACGUUCUAACGUUCCUGAAUGAUUUGAACAUGUUGUCACUGUUUAAAUGUACUCAGUGAAUUUGAGAUUGAUUUAAACGGGGACUUGUAUGACAAUCAUUGUUCAUAUAUCAUUUGUAU